CCCUAAUUACUGUAUAGCUAGUUUAGUAGCGCUUAUUGUUGCGAGUUGUCAAUGGAGCCUGUUGAGAUCACGUUCUGAAAUGUGGGAACACUUUCAUUUGAUUUCGCCCAAUAAGGUGGAUAUAUAUGGUUUUGUUGUGAAGCCUAUAUUUAUAACUUAAAUCUCACUCAUCAUUGGGCAAUUACUGUAUACGAUUCAAUGCAAUAUUUCCUGUCGUGUGUGUGUAUGUAUGUAUGUAUGAGCACCACACCGUUUUGUAUCAAAUUUAAAAGGUUUAUUUAAGCAUCUGGAUAUAACAGGAAGUAAAUCAGGGUUAAACUGAGGAAGGGAACAAAAUCUCAGGAGGGCCAAAAUAACAAACAAAAGUUCACUGCCUGGGGAAUGAAAAUCUUCAUAACCUAUAACAAAAAAGUCAAAUAAAUAACAGGUACCUGAACUCACUCCCUAGCUAACACAAAACAGGAGAAAACAAGGAUUCACAAAAUAAAAUGGCACCUACCUACCGUUCCUGAAAUUACACGAGAUAACAAAAAGAACAAUCAGUACCAAAGUCACCGAUCACUAUAACAUUGGAUAGCGAGCACAACAUGGAAUUCACUGCGCAGGGCAGGACACGGAUCAUGCUCUUGGAGAAAAAGGUCUCCCUGACUGAGCCUUCUGCUCUGCUUUUAAACUCCUUUCCCUCCGGUUGGUAAACAGGUGCAGCUGGGAGGAAGCAAUUAGGUGACCUGAGAGCAGACAGUGGGAGGAGCCAUAGGAGAGCAGGAGACAACACAACAACCACAGGACAAGGCAAAAUAUACGUCUUUGGACGUAACACCCCCACCAUUAGUUACAAACAAUACUUCAAAUAGGGUGUUUGUAAAAUCAAGAAAGGUAUUCAAUACCACAGUUACUGGUAACUAUUCCACAUUUUGUUUGUCCACAUUAUAUACUCUAGAAAGAGCAUCAGCUACAACAUUUUCUGUACCUUUCUGAUGUUGGAUGUUGAGAUUGUACUUUUCAACAACCAGCAUUAUCAACAACCAGUGCAUCGGUCGUUGGUUCGAGUUACACAUUCUUCCCAAAAAUACCAAGGGGUUGUGAUUGGUGUAAACCACUACUGGGGUACAACUACCUCCCAAGUAUACCUCGAAGUGUUGCAGUGCCAAUAUUAAGGCUAGAGCCUCCUUUUCAAUAGUACUGUAACUCUGUUGGCAUUUGGUAAACUUUUUGGAGAAGUAACUCACAGGAUGUUCUAUGCCAGUGGAGUCUUCUUGCAGCAGUACAGCACCUGCCCCUGAGGAACUCGCAUCCACCUGCAGCUUGAAACGCAUAGCAAAGUCAGGAGCAGCAAGGAUUGGAGCAUGGCACAAGAGGUCUUUGGCAGCAUUAAAUGCACAAUUACAACCCUGAUCCCACACAAAUUUUCUAGAGGUGUUAAGGAGAUUCAUCAAAGGGGCAACCACAGAAGCAAAGUUUUUACAGAAACUUCUGUAAUAACCGGCCAUACCAAGAAACCUUCUUAACUCCCUUUUAUUAGUAGGAAGAGGAAAAUUUAGUAUCAUAGCAACUUUUUCUUCAACCGGCCUUACUUACCCUUGCCAAGGUAGGUAACAACAGCCUUCGCAAAUUCACACUUCACCAAGUUUAAAGUCAAUGAUGCCUCAGAUAGCCUACUAAAAACCUGGUUGAGACUAUUCAGAUGGUCUCCCCAACUAGCUGAAUAGAUGACCACAUCAUCCAGGUAAGCUUCACAGUUCUUCACCCCUGACAGUAACUGAUGCUUUAGGAAUUGGAAAGUCACAGGAGCAUUCCGCAUGCCAAAAGCCAUAACAGAAUACUUAGAAAACAGAAAGUUGUCAAUGGUAACAAAAGCAGAGAUUUCUGAGGCUCAAGGUGUGAGGGGCACCUGCCAGUAUCCUUUCAGAAGAUCCAGUUUGGUGACAUAUCGAGCAAAACCAACUUUGUCAACACAGUCCUCUAUUCGCGGGAAGAGGAAAAGAGUCAGGCUUGGUGAUGUUAUUAACCUUUCAGUAGUCAGUGCAAAAACGAUUCAGAUUUGCACAUACGGAAAGCACAUACAUAGUCCAAAACAUUACUAGACACUGUUUUUUAUUCAACAACUGCUCACUUAGUAGUUUCAACGGCCCCCGAACAGUGUGCCCAUUAACAAGUUCAGAAGGGCUGAAACCCAAUGCCUCCUUCAUCGUCUCUCUAACUGCAAACAUUAAAAAUGGCAAACCCUCAACCCAGUCUCUACCAGUGUUUAGACAAUAUGCGCAUACUGUAGCAUGGACUUCAGGGUUUGGUGAAAACGCUCCAGUGCACCCUGGGACUCUGGAUGGUAUGCACUGGAUAAUCUAUGGUCAACUCCCAACUCUUUCAACACUUGAGCAAACACUUUUGAAGUGAAGUUAGUACCUCUGUCCAUUUGGAUAACCUUAGGUAACCCAAACGUUGAGCAGAACUUAACCAUCUCCUUCACUAUCGCCUGGGCUCUAAGAGUACGGAGCGGAACAGCUUCUGGAAACUUGGUGGCAGCACACAUCAAAGUCAAAAGAUAUUGGUGUCCUGAUUUAGAUUUCGGUAGUGGCCCAACAAAAUCCAAAAUAAAAAGUUCAAACGGCUCUCCCACCACUGGAAUUGGAUGGAGGGGAGCAGAAGGUAUGAUUUGAUUAGGCUUACCCGCUAUUAGGCAAACAUGACAACACUUGCAGAAUUUGAAAACGCUGGACUUCAAUCCAGGCCAAAAGAAGUAUCUGGAAAUUCGCUUGUAAGUUUUAUUAACCCUAAGAUGGCCAGAGAGAGGAUGUUCAUGGUCAAGUUGCAAUACGUGAGAACGAUAAUCAGAGGGCAAAACAAUUUGGUAGGGAGUUAAAGCCUCAUCAACAUUACGUGGCUUCCAACGACGCAUCAGAACGUUACCUUCCCAAAUAAAAGCUAUUCUAGUAUCUCUAGAGUCCUCUAGCUGAACAGCAGCUUCAACACAGUGUGCUAAAGUUUGGUCAUAGGCCGUAAGGUGAAGCCGUUUUUCGUUUCAUCCCGUUCCCAUAUAUGGGGCACUAAAUUCUUUUCAUUCCACUAAAAAGAGCUAUUGGUUUUAAGCGAGUAAAUAAAAGUUCUCCAUGUAUAAUUGUGCAGUUUCAUUUUUUAUUAGUGUUUAAAGUCGCCAAUAGUUCCUUCAUCACGUAAUCAUAUUUUGAUCAUGAGUGAUUCGGCUUCGCGUCACGUGUAGGAAGCACAACCGAUAAGGUGGCCGCUUUUUGGACCUAUGAUUCCAAGAUGCCUGCGCCCUUGAUGUCAAUAUCGAGUAGCGAAGAAGAGGAAAUUACGGUCAGACCUCAUUCUAAACUCCGUAAAAAGGAUUAUAAACAAUGCUAUAUGCAUCUCACGUCCAUAAAGAAAGAAGAAACGAAGGAUUUUACACACACACAAUGGGAUACAUACAGAAAUAGCAUCAAACUGUGUCUUGGUUUGCAUGGUGAGAAUCAGAGAAUAGCAGAAACAUACAAACAUUGUCUAGAAAUUUAAUUUGAAAAUAUUCCCAAAGACACUGGAUUUCAUUCCACUUGCUACAGGCGUUUCAUUGACAAAAAGCACCUGGAUACGGCAGAGAAACGUGUCAUACAGCAUCCUGAAAUUCAAGAUGUUCACAAAGACCAGUCUGUGUCAUCGAGUAGUAGUACCUCAACAACUGAAUGUCCUAAAAAGAAACUUAGGUCCAUGACGGGCCUGCCAAUAGCUUGUGCAUCCAUAACCUGUGAUUCCUGCCUUGUGCAUAAUUUGUAAAAAAAAAUUGACAAGUACAUUACUGUGGCAGGCAAACGACAGAAGGACCAUCUUUCACAGGCAGAAACGUUAUGUGCAGGCCAGUUGCUGAAAGCUGCUGAGAUGAAGGAAGACACUAGCAUUCUUCUGCAUAUUCAAGACAAAGACUGUGUCUCUCUGGAGGUGCGAUACCACAAGUCCUGUUACAGACAGUACACCAGGUUCUUGACGAAGUCUACUGCAACAGUUACUGGGACCUCAGAAGAACAAAAUGAGCCAACCUUCGAUGUCAGCUACAAGAUCUUCUGUGAGAGCAUCAUCCGUCAUAGAAUAAUUGUAAACCAAGAGGUGCUGACGAUGAUGCAGUUAAGAAGGAUAUUUUUAAAUCUUGUGAAAACACGAAGAUCUUGAUGCUUCCAACUACAGGAAGGAUAAAUUGAAGAGGAUGUUGAGUUGCGAUUUCCCCCAGCUGGUGUUUCACUCACCCAAAAAGCGCAACAUCAGUGAGCUGGUUUUUGUUGAGACACUGUCUGCAGAUAAGCUGAUCGACGGGCUCCCUCAUCCAUCAGGUACAGAAACAACAGGGUUGACUGAGGUAACUAGCCAAAGUGACGGUGAAAACACGUCAAGUAAAACAGCCGGUCCUCAAAGACAAACUUCAGUGGGCUCUAUCAAUACUACAGAGGACACAAGGACACUUUAUAGUGCAGCAUUAAUAUUAAAGAUGCUCAUAUGUGACUCUCCCGGUAUGACUUGUCCAUGGCCACCCACAUCAGAUUAAAUGUGAGUGAAGCAAAAUUUGUUGUGCCACUCUAACUGUACUGUACAACCUAAUUUCCUGGAUUAUUGGUGCAACUGAGGAACCAACACUGGCCCAUUAUGUUGAUAUUACAGAUGAUUUGAACCUAAAAGUGAUAUCUAUUUGUCAAGACAUUGUGUAUCUUGCAUCUAAGGGCUGGAGGCAGACACCCAAAUCAUUGUGUCUUGGUCUAACCAUUCCCCAUUUAACUGGUUCAUCGCAGAUUGUGUCACUUCUAAAUAGACUAGGACAUUGUGCAUCAUGGGACACAGUUGUCAGUCUAGACAGUAGCCUUGCCCAACUUCAACUAGUAGAGUAGAGACAAAAUACCAAAGGGGUUUUCAAAGAAGGUUCCUACAAUACUUGUGUGGGACAAUAUUGACUUUGGGGAGGAGACAUUAUCAGGUCGUGGAACUACUCACCACACAAAUGGGAUUAUGCUUCAAAGUUCUGUAGUUCAACCUGUGUCAACAACAGACAGAGAACCACUACAAAAGGGAGUUUCCUCAUUCAAAGCACUCCCUUGACUCCCUAUCGAACAGUACCAUCAGUCUAAAAAGCAAGGACCACAGAACUUGUUUCAUCAUUAAAGUGUUCAAUUACAGGUAGGCACAUACAAGUUGAACACAAUGUCUGCUGCACAAACUGAACUGGCAUAUGUUUUUAGUCCAUAGAUGCUGAAAGAUGCACAAUCCCAAGCUGGACAGGUUUCCAUACGUUGCUUCAAGUUGAUGGCACUCUGCAAAAGUAAACACAAUUCUGAAGCGAAGUGUCCAAAUUGUUGAUCAGGUAGAAUUGGACCGUAUAUAGUAGUGUUAGUUUUUGACCAAGCUAUAAAAGCCAAAGCUCAGCAGAUCUGCUGGAAAGACAAUGACUUUACUCAUCGUAUAGUGAUUAGACUAGAAUUUCACACAUGCAUGUCCUACCUGAGCAUUCUAGGAAAACGGUUUGGAGAUGCAGGACUGCAAGACAUACUCGUUGAGUCUGAAGUUGUUGCCCCAGGAUCCAUCAGUGGAGUGAUCAGUGGUCACCACUACAAGCAUAGCAUGAGGGCACACAAACUUCUAUAUGAGAGUGUGCAACGCAUUAGAUUUCUCACCUUCUUAGACUCUUUGCCACCAGAGGAGAGAAAUAAGUGUAUGGAUGUCAUUCAUGAGAUGAAAUGUGCAUUCCAGGACAGAGCCAUGGAUGUUAUGUGCACAAAUGAAAAAUUUGAUGAAAUGUGUUCAAAAUAUGUAGAGUUUGUAAAAAGAAGUACAGAAAACCCAACGUUUGCCUUCUGGAGUUCAUACAUUGACAUGGUAGAUAUUCCUUUUGUUUGUGAGAGCAACACGAGAAUCGGACUGGCAGCUUCACCUGUCAACAGUGCGCUUGAUGAUGCCAUGGUUUUUGCUUAUGAUCAUGUAAAUUAUGCUAGGUAUUUACCUUCAUACUGGUUGGAAAUGUUCAGUUUGCCUCUCACACAACCUUCUUGCCACAGUGAGCUUAGUGUUAAAGGCCAGUGGACUGUCCAACGUCAAAGUGUCCAUGGAUUUGCCUCAGUUGCUUGUGACCAGGCCAUUGAACAAACAUGCAACAGAGUAGAGGGCUACAUUGGGAUUGGGCUCCCGUGGGACCCGCGGGACCCAACGCAGGGCGGUGAAAAAAUUUAGCGGGAGAUCUGCGGGACCCGGUGGGAUUUGGUGUGUAGCCUAAU